GAUGAAGAACGUAGCGAAAUGCGAUAAGUAAUGUGAAUUGCAGAAUUCAGUGAAUCAUCGAAUCUUUGAACGCACAUUGCGCCCGCCAGUAUUCUGGCGGGCAUGCCUGUUCGAGCGUCAUUUCAACCAUCAAGCCCCAGGCUUGUGUUGGGGACCUGCGGCUGCCGCAGGCCCUGAAAACCAGUGGCGGGCUCGCUGUCACACCGGGCGUAGUAGAUUUUAUCUCGCUCAGGGCGUGCUGCGGGUUCCGGCCGUUAAAAGCCUUUUUUACCCAAGGUUGACCUCGGAUCAGGUAGGAAUACCCGCUGAACUUAAGCAUAUCAUAAGCGGAGGA
rnacentral:misc_RNA from 1 species